rnacentral:tRNA from 1 species
AAUUGGAUAGCUCAGUUGGGUAGAGCACUAGCCUGUAACGCUAGCUGUCGCGGGUUCAAUUCCCGCUCCAGACACCA